rnacentral:rRNA from 1 species
UACGGGGGGGGCAAGCGUUGUUCGGAAUUACUGGGCGUAAAGGGCUCGUAGGCGGCCAACUAAGUCACACGUGAAAUCCCCAGGCUUAACCUGGGAACUGCGUGUGAUACUGGAUGGCUUGAAUUCGGGAGAGGGAUGCAGAAUUCCAGGUGUAGCGGUGAAAUGCGUAGAUAUCUGGAGGAAUACCGGUGGCGAAGGCGGCAUCCUGGACCGACAUUGACGCUGAGGAGCGAAAGCUAGGGGAGCAAACGGG